CAAUAGCGUAUAUUAAAGUUGUUGCAGUUAAAAAGCUCGUAGUUGGAUUUCUGGUGGGAGCGAUCGGUCUGGCGCUUAGCGCGAGUACUUGCAUCGUCUCCGGCCAUCCUUGGGGAGAGUCUGUCUGGCAUUAAGUUGUCGGGCAGAGGAUCCUCAUCGUUUACUGUGAAAAAAUUAGAGUGUUCAAAGCAGGCUUAUGCCGUUGAAUAUAUUAGCAUGGAAUAAUAAGAUAGGACUUUGGUACUAUUUUGUUGGUUUGCGCACCAAAGUAAUGAUUAAUAGGGACAGUUGGGGGUAUUCGUAUUCCGUUGUCAGAGGUGAAAUUCUUGGAUUUACGGAAGACGAACUACUGCGAAAGCAUUUACCAAUGAUGUUUUCAUUAA
rnacentral:rRNA from 1 species